rnacentral:piRNA from 2 species
UGAAUCAGCACAGAUCUUGGGCCA